rnacentral:lncRNA from 1 species
GCAUAUGGAAAGUCAGCCUGGGAGGGAAGAACGUCAAUCUUUUCUCUGGAAAAGCACAUGUCUGAGCUGGUUUUGAAGGAUAAGAAAUGACUGGGAGGUGUGUGAGUGUCUGUUGGAGGUGGAUAGAUAAACUCCACGCACAAGAGUAUGAGGGCAAAAAGAUUAGUAUCAAGCAAAAGCAAAUUACUUUUCAUGGAGAACAGAGUUACAACAGUACCCGUAUCUGGUAUCUGUGGUUCUUCCUGUCCAGCAUCCACACUUCUCUCUGAAAAACAUCCUGAUUGUCCCUUAGGCCUCACCCCUUUCUUAUUUUCAGUCUCUGUGGUCUGGGUGGGAUGAACCCCACCCCAAUCCUAGUUCCAAGACUGGUCAUAAUGCUGGCAGUCAUGACCUCACAACAUUCUAUGCACCUGGAGCCUGGAUACAGUGAUGCCAUCAGGUGUGGUAUGUGAUCACAGGCAACUCAGGAACAGCUCUCCAGCCCCAGGACUUCUGCUGGAACCGCUGGGAGUUGGAAGCUUUCUUCCCACUGAGGGGCAAACCUUCUAGGUAUCUGAAGAUGUUGAAGACCAUUUCCUGGAACAGCAGAGGUAAAUGCCCAGAGGAUGAGAACACAUAGCCAUUAGGAGAGCCUGAAAGUUCAGUGUGACUGAAAGAUGAAGUUCAAGAGAAGGGACAAACUGCAAAACACAAGCUGGAGAGUUUUAGAGAGACUGUGGAAUGGAAUGACUCUCCAGAGCUGCAGAUUGAAGGCAUAUUUUCAUCUGACUUUGGUGAUUAUGUUUCCAAUCUCUCUGGGAAUAAGAUCUCAAUGGCGGGAACACCUUCAUGGCCCCUUUAUAGCUGGUAUGUUUUCUUCUUAUGGACAAUGAGAAACAUGUAAUAAACUGUGUUUCCUUCUCGCUAGGAAACCCUGAGUUAAAGCUUUACUUCCCUCUCAGGAACCAUCAAAGAGCCAUAAUCUGUACACCCUGGUGCAACAUUUCCCCUGGAUUUGAUCCCCUUUCAAUUGUUUUAGCCUUAUUUUACAUUUCUUAAAUCUAUUUCUCUAUGUUGC